rnacentral:misc_RNA from 1 species
CGCACAUUGCGCCCCUUGGUAUUCCGAGGGGUAUGCCUGUUCGAGCGUCAUUAUCACCCCUCAAGUUCCGGCUUGGUGUUGGACUGUGGUUUGUCAGACAAACCCGUCUCAAAGAUAGUGACGGCGUCCCAGAAGGAACCCGUACGAGGAGCUUUUAACCAAGCAUGUAUGCGGCACGACUCUGCGGGCGACGGUCUUUACCUAAAUUUAUACAAGUGUUGACCUCGGAUCAGGUAGGAAUACCCGCUGAACUUAA